AUUUUAAACUUCAAAUCUCUCCCUAUAGGUUAGCUCUUUCUUAUUUCAGUAUUCUCUGCUUUAAGGUGUAUAUCAUCCUAUUUUAUUUUUCUCUUUUCGUCAGAACCUCUAUUAAUUCUCCAUUAAAUUAUAUAGAAAAAACUUCAAAUCCUGCCUGCCGUGGCUUAUCGAAUAUUUACUUUAGUACUACGUGGUUUGCCAAAUUUUUAUUUUAGUAUAUUGUGAUUUUAAUUUUUUCACUGGAUAUUAAAAUGAUAUACUUUAAACCACCAGAUAUUAAAAUAUAUUUUUUUGGUGUUUCAACAAUAUUG
rnacentral:lncRNA from 1 species